rnacentral:rRNA from 1 species
GAUGAACGCUAGCGGCAGGCCUAACACAUGCAAGUCGAGGGGUAGAGGAAGCUUGCUUCCUUGAGACCGGCGCACGGGUGCGUAACGCGUAUGCAAUCUACCUUUUACAGAGGGAUAGCCCAGAGAAAUUUGGAUUAAUACCUCAUAGUAUCUUUGCCUGGCAUCGGGUGAUUAUUAAAGUUCCAACGGUAAAAGAUGAGCAUGCGUCCUAUUAGCUAGAUGGUAAGGUAACGGCUUACCAUGGCAACGAUAGGUAGGGGUCCUGAGAGGGAGAUCCCCCAAACUGGUACUGAGACACGGACCAGACUCCUACGGGAGGCAGCAGUGAGGAAUAUUGGACAAUGGGCGCAAGCCUGAUCCAGCCAUGCCGCGUGCAGGAAGACGGUCCUAUGGAUUGUAAACUGCUUUUGUACGGGAAGAAACACUCCUACGUGUAGGAGCUUGACGGUACCGUAAGAAUAAGGAUCGGCUAACUCCGUGCCAGCCGCCGCCGUAAAAC